rfam:Aedes albopictus isolate Foshan contig25917, whole genome shotgun sequence.
UGUUCUGUAGCUUAUUUGGUUAAAGCGCCGGACUAGCGAUAACGGAGUCGUGGGUUCGAAUCCCACCAAAACAA